UACCUCCUAGCUAGACACAACAGAAGUUUGCCAAAAUGUACAGACAGCUCAUGGGACUUCAGCAGCUUUCCAGGCGGACCAUCACCAGCAGUGCCCGCAGACAGAUUGAUAACACUGUGAAGGACAAACAGAAACUGUUUCAGGUUCUGGAGACAGAAUCUAAUUUGUAGCCGCACAGAUAAGUAUCAGUGGAUUUCCACCCUAUAAUGUUUAAAUGACCUUCAGCUGUAGCUGAGGCUGGAGUUAUACUAAUUACGCUUGCAAGCUGCUAAUUAAAAAUCCAUUACAUAAUCAACGUUCCAAUGUGGCAGGCUUUGCUGAUCCUUGCAUAGCGCUAGAAAUUACUGUAGCCAUAGUUGACAAACGGCCUACCCUCGCUUCUAAAUGCCAGAGCAAGCACUGCUUCUUUGCAUUGUGUAUUGUACGCCACCACUUAAUUGCUAUGGUGGUUAACCAAAGAUGGGCGCUACAAGAAUAUAUUGAAUACCCUAGAAACAGAAACACGUGAAGUUAAAAGUCCUUCAUGAACGUUUGAAGUAGGCUAACUGUUUUUAUAACUUCAUUGUUUGCUCUUUGGCCAGGCGGACAACGGUACGCCUAUCCAUCUGAAGGGCGGGUCAAAGGACGCUGUGCUCUACAGAAUCACAAUGGCUCUAACUGUGUUCGGGAGUGGAUAUGUUGUGUAUGAGCUGUUUAGUGCGGCAAUGCCCAAGAAGUGACGCACGGGAUUG